ensembl:rRNA 5S_rRNA 5S ribosomal RNA
GGCCACAGCAAUAUCAACCUGCAGCCCAAUACCGGUUAUUCACUGAAGCUAAGCAGGACUGAGCCUGGUCAGUACUUAGAUGGGAGACCACAUGGGAAAAUUAGGUUGCUGUUGCAC